rnacentral:rRNA from 1 species
GAGUUUGAUCCUGGCUCAGGACGAACGCUGGCGGCGUGCCUAAUACAUGCAAGUAGAACGCUGAAGAGAGGAGCUUGCUCUUCUUGGAUGAGUUGCGAACGGGUGAGUAACGCGUAGGUAACCUGCCUUGUAGCGGGGGAUAACUAUUGGAAACGAUAGCUAAUACCGCAUAACAAUAGGUGACACAUGUCAUUUAUUUGAAAGGGGCAAUUGCUCCACUACAAGAUGGACCUGCGUUGUAUUAGCUAGUAGGUGAGGUAACGGCUCACCUAGGCGACGAUACAUAGCCGACCUGAGAGGGUGAUCGGCCACACUGGGACUGAGACACGGCCCAGACUCCUACGGGAGGCGGCAGUAGGGAAUCUUCGGCAAUGGGGGCAACCCUGACCGAGCAACGCCGCGUGAGUGAAGAAGGUUUUCGGAUCGUAAAGCUCUGUUGUAAGUCAAGAACGAGUGUGAGAGUGGAAAGUUCACACUGUGACGGUAGCUUACCAGAAAGGGACGGCUAACUACGUGCCAGCAGCCGCGGUAAUACGUAGGUCCCGAGCGUUGUCCGGAUUUAUUGGGCGUAAAGCGAGCGCAGGCGGUUUGAUAAGUCUGAAGUUAAAGGCUGUGGCUCAACCAUAGUUCGCUUUGGAAACUGUCAAACUUGAGUGCAGAAGGGGAGAGUGGAAUUCCAUGUGUAGCGGUGAAAUGCGUAGAUAUAUGGAGGAACACCGGUGGCGAAAGCGGCUCUCUGGUCUGUAACUGACGCUGAGGCUCGAAAGCGUGGGGAGCGAACAGGAUUAGAUACCCUGGUAGUCCACGCCGUAAACGAUGAGUGCUAGGUGUUGGAUCCUUUCCGGGAUUCAGUGCCGCAGCUAACGCAUUAAGCACUCCGCCUGGGGAGUACGACCGCAAGGUUGAAACUCAAAGGAAUUGACGGGGGCCCGCACAAGCGGUGGAGCAUGUGGUUUAAUUCGAAGCAACGCGAAGAACCUUACCAGGUCUUGACAUCCCGAUGCUAUUUCUAGAGAUAGAAAGUUACUUCGGUACAUCGGUGACAGGUGGUGCAUGGUUGUCGUCAGCUCGUGUCGUGAGAUGUUGGGUUAAGUCCCGCAACGAGCGCAACCCCUAUUGUUAGUUGCCAUCAUUCAGUUGGGCACUCUAGCGAGACUGCCGGUAAUAAACCGGAGGAAGGUGGGGAUGACGUCAAAUCAUCAUGCCCCUUAUGACCUGGGCUACACACGUGCUACAAUGGUUGGUACAACGAGUUGCGAGUCGGUGACGGCAAGCUAAUCUCUUAAAGCCAAUCUCAGUUCGGAUUGUAGGCUGCAACUCGCCUACAUGAAGUCGGAAUCGCUAGUAAUCGCGGAUCAGCACGCCGCGGUGAAUACGUUCCCGGGCCUUGUACACACCGCCCGUC